rnacentral:rRNA from 1 species
GUUUCAGCCGCCGCGGUAAUACAGAGGUGGCAAGCGUUGUUCGGAAUUACUGGGCGUAAAGGGCGCGUAGGCGGUUUGUCAAGUCCCGUGUGAAAGCCCCCGGCUCAACCGGGGAACGGCGCGGGAAACUAGCAGGCUUGAGUUCGGGAGAGGGAAGCGGAAUUCCGGGUGUAGCGGUGAAAUGCGCAGAUAUCCGGAGGAACACCGGUGGCGAAGGCGGCUUCCUGGACCGACACUGACGCUGAGGCGCGAAAGCUAGGGGAGCAAACGGGAUUAGAUACCCUCGUAGUCC